GGGGGUGGAGAAGCUCCCAAGGGUUGGGCUGUUCGCCCAUUAAAGCGGCACGCGAGCUGGGUUCAGACCGUCGUAAGACAGGUCGGUCUCCUAUCCACUAUGGUCGUGGAAACUUGAAGAGGCCCUUCCUUAGUACGAGAGGACCGGGAAGGACGAAGCUCUAGUGUACCAACUGUUCUGCCAAGGGCAUUGCUGGGUAGCUACCUUCGGUUAUGAUAAGCGCUGAAAGCAUAUAAGCGCGAAGCUGUCUCUGAGAUUAGGUUUCAUAGAUUCCCUAGAGAAUAUAGGGUUGAUAGGCUCUAAGUGUAAGUCCAGUAAUGGAUUCAGCUGAGGAGUACUAAUAAAUCAUUUGAUUUU
rnacentral:rRNA from 1 species